UACGUAGGGGGCCAGCGUUGCUCGGAAUUACUGGGCGUAGAGGGUUCGUAGGCGGUGCGGUAAGUUGGGAGUGAAAUCUCUGGGCUUAACUCAGGGGCUGCUUUCAAAACUACCGUGCUCGAGUGCGAGAGAGGUCAGUGGAAUUGCAGGUGUAGCGGUGAAAUGCGUAGAUAUCUGCAGGAACACCCGUGGCGAAGGCGGCUGACUGGAUCGCAACUGACGCUGAGGAACGGAAACUAGGGGAG
rnacentral:rRNA from 1 species